GGCAGUUCUCGGAUGAUGCAACUGGAAUCGGGCUCCCUCUUCUCUGGUUCCAGGGUGUGUCACCCGAGAACCACC
rfam:Myotis davidii contig197390, whole genome shotgun sequence.